rnacentral:lncRNA from 1 species
CAGAUUAUCCAGAAGACUCUUUGAAGAGCAACAUCUGAGCUCCAGUGUUUCCUGUGGGGUCUGGUGAAGAAUUUGGGGGUUUGUGUUGUUUAUAGUCUGGUCUCUGUCGUGUAACAGUGUGUGUGUGGAGUCGGCGGUACUUUAAGACGUUCCUCAGCGCCUUCCUUCUGACCGUCACGCUGGGAAUCGGCAUGCUGGCCGCCGUCAGACAGCUGCUGAGAGCCAGAAACUGCUCGUGGCGCUCCAACCCUGAGCAACAGUUUGAGCGCAGCCCUAAGGACCCAUCAUACGUCCCCACGACCAACGAGAAGACGAUCACGUACAGAAGUGACCGUCUCCCGAACCACCCGGUGGAGAUGCACUCACACAUGCCCAAGAUGCUCCUGAGCGACGCCUGGCAGUGAUGAGGGUCAAAGGUCGCUCUAGAAACCAAGCACUACCAGGAUGAAAACACAACCUUUCUCUUUAAGCACUUACUUCACAAGAGCAAGCAAUAGCCUGUGUGGGUUUUCUGAGCGUGUUUUUCAUUCCUUUUCAUUCCGUUUCUAAUUUAUGAUGUUGAAUGGCAUUAAAUCUCUGGUCCUGAAGCCACACAGAAAAAGAGACGGUGCGGUGAAUGCCUGUUAAACCCUUACUGAUGUGGUUUAGACGCGUUCACCCCAACAGGCCAGUUUUCAGUGUGUUUGUGUCUGUGAGCGAAUGUGAGAGUGUGUUUGAGAUGUUUUUGCUUGUUGUAUUUUAGUCGUCAAUACACUACAGACUCCGGCUAUGUUCAGAAUAGCAUACUGCGCAUACUAUUUCUGCAGUAUACAUGCACAAAAAUCACAGAUGAUAGCAGUAUAUGAAAAGAGUACUGUCCCACAAUGCAAUGGGCUUGAUGCUUCCAGUACAAUGAUGCAACAUUUGGAAUUAAUAAUUAUAUUAUUAUUAAUAAUUUUAUUAUUAAUUAUUUAUAUUAUCAAUAAUUUAAUUAAAUUAUUGGGCCAUAAAGCUUUAAAAAAAAAUACCUUUUUUUAUUUUUAUAUGUUUUAUUAUUUCCAUUUUAUUUAUAUAUAUAUUAUUUUUUAUUUUAUUUUUCAUUCUUAGUUUUGUUCAUUUUAGUACUUUAAAUUCUGGAAUGAUAACUUGAGCAGUUGUUUAUUAUAUAUAUAUAUAUAUAUAUACAGUACAGACCUAAAGUUUAGGAAACAUUACUUAUUUUUAAUUGUUUUGAAUUAUGCAAAAUUUUAUGUUAU